rnacentral:lncRNA from 1 species
UUUUUUUUUUCUUGCAACUCACUCCAAGGACUUAAUUUAAAAUCUGUAGGACUGUGUAUAUGGGAUGUCGAGACAUAAAAACGACAACAACAAAAACGGAAUUUCUUGAAUGGGUACUGAGGAUAAAGUAGAAAAUAGAUUAGAAAUUUGUUAUAGCCUUAGUGGGAGGUAAUUUAAAAUUCUGUUAAUUUGCUCCAGGUUUCAGCAUAAAAGUUUCUUUUUGCUAGUCUGAUCCUAAAUCAAUGACCUAUUCUUUCAAGUGAAUGUUUGCUAUUUUCUUGAGUUCUGGUCCCAAUUUUGCUUUCAAAUUGAAAUUCUAAGCCCAAGGUCCUAGCCUCUGAAUUUCUAUCCCCAAGGCCAUAUUUUAUUCUAAAAAAGACUUUCCAGACAUGGAUUUGUGAAUUCUUGAUUGUCAAGGAUUACUCAUCACUGACCUUCAAUGAGAAACCACAUUACUCAUACAGCUUUGCUUAUUUUGAGAUAGCCUGUCCAUUUGACAAACAAAACCUGUUAGGUUAAAGCUAGAUCAGUUUCAGAUUUUCCUUAGAAUUUUGCUAAGAUUCUGAGCAUCAAACAUUCGUCAAGGUGUCUGCUGUAGAAGCUCCUGGGUUCUUCUAGGCUUGGUGAAGCAGGAAAUUAGAACUCUGCAGUGUUGGGUUGAGUACGCCAUGAUAGAUAGGUACAAAAAGGCCUAGUGGUUCAUUCUAAGCUUUAGACCGCUUCUCGUAUUGUGGAAAAAUCUUACAGAUUUGGAUCAGAAGAGGUUUUAAAGAAUUUCUUGAAUGUCCCUGAUCUUUCCAGAGACCUCUGGUCACAGGCAUUAAAAGGCAGGAUCCAAAAGUUAGGAUGUCUAAAGUCAUAAUUCUAGCAUUGUUUGAAGCAGAAUCUGAGAGUUCAACACUCAUUUCCUCAUCUUUUUCAUUCACUGGAAAUGCACACAGAUGCUGGGACAGCUGGUUUCAUUGGCAAUGAGUCUUUAUUGCUUGCAAGAGUGUACCCUGUAUGCCUGGGUCUGUGCCUUCUGAGAAUUCUGACCAUCUGCCCUUUCAGUAAAGCUUUCUACCCAACGUGCAUUAGAUUAUCUUGCUCAAGUUUAAUACACACUGAGACUGGGCCUCCAGACGUUCUGGAAAUUUAAUGCUCAGAUAUAUAAAUAACACUCAGAUAAAUUGAUGCUCCGUCUCUAUGUACUUUGGUCUUAUUAUGGAAAUGUAAUCCUCAUGGAUACAAUUUGCUCCUAGAGAGAGAUAAUAUGUUUCUAUUGUUCAGAAAACUUAUUCCAUCUAGUGAUGUUUUUCUAAAAUAUAUCCACACUAAUCAUAGGGAAAUUCUCUUAUAGGCAGUUUCAUUAUGGUUCAUUUCCUAUUUUAUUCGGUGGAAUCUGUUUUAUUUUCAGAGUGAAAAUUAGAUUGUUAACAGCCCCUGGGCCAUGGGAGCUCAACUGGUUGCCAUAUAGGUUAGACAAUAAAACAUGGCUGCGUAUCCAGGAUGACCUGUACACUAGGCAUUAUCUAGCUUUUAGAACAUGUAAGCCAAUUCAGUUUUGUGGGAUAGGGUUUAUAUUUUUGGUUUUUGUCUUUGUUGGUAGAUCUGCCACUCAAGGGUAUUAAUUCAAGCGUAGAACUCAAAUUAGGAAAUGAAUUCUGGGAAUAAAUUACCAGGUUAAUCACAUGUACUGAGAAGCACAGGCUGAUGCCAAGUCACCUUCUGGAGGCUGCAUAGUAUAAUGGCUAAAAAAUAUUCUAGAAUACAACUGUUUGGGUCUAUCUCCCAUGACUACUGAUUAUUCCAAUGUAAUUUUAGGCAAAUCACUGGACUCGUGUAUUUUCAUCUGUUUAAGUGUUGAUAUUAAUGUUUUUCUUAUGUUAUACCUAAGUCUGGCAGGGUGAUCAAAAAACCCAUUCCUGUGACACCUGGACCUCUGGUCACCAUGGCCUUCUCAGCUUGUGGCUAUUGCACUGGUUUUCACGACUGGGCAGAGAAGAACCAAGAUUUGUCCAGAUAAAUUAUUUAGUGCCGCAUGCAUUCUUUCUUGCUCAUGCUAUAUCAAAACAGAGAUAUAGCAUGUUCAUCACUGUACCUUGCCCAAAAGUUCUCAGGAAAUUAUCACUGAUUUGAUGAAUGAGUGCAUAAGUGUGCGGAGGUUAAAGCACUUUGGAGUAGCGAUCUCUAAAUUGGAGUAUGUACAUUCCAGGUUUUAUACAAAAUGAUUUAACGAAAUGUGGGAAGUUAAUAUAUUUAUAAUUCUAAUUAUUUUGAUUUAUAUAAAUAUGCAUAGACUCUAUGGUUUAUAAUUUACAUGACAUAUUAUUAAUCAGGAUAUAAAAAAUGCAUAACUGCAUAUAGAAAUGCAGAGUUUCUCAUAUUUUUUGUAGGUAGGGAUCUAUGACAAAAUAUUGGAGACCCUGGACCAGAGUAUUUCAGAAUGCUUGGUCAUACUUGGUAAUGCUCUUACCACAUGUUCUGUAGAAGUAAGGACAAAUAUACAGUUGAUUCUAUACACCACUAAUGCUUUUUUGAAUAAAAUAUAUUCUAUGAAAUAAAAAAAAUUAGGAUUCGUGUUGAGGCUCAGUGGGUUAGGAACUCAACAUAGUAUCUGUGAGGAUGUGAGUUUGAUUCCUGGCCUUGCCGCCAAGCAGCAUAGGCUACAAACUGGGUUCAGCUCUAGUGCUAACAGCCCGGGACCUUCCAUAUACUGCAGGUACAACCAUAAAAAGAAAAACCAACAAAAAACAAUACCUUGCUGUGAAAUAAACUAUAAUUAAUAUACAUUCUGAGGAAAACCUUGUUUCCAUUUUUCUGAAAACCAAUCCAGUUUAUAUAUAUCAGUUUCCUAAUUUUAUUUAGAGCAGUUCUCAACGAUCACUGUAAAGCAACGUAUUUCAUAGUUUUUAUGUCUCUUCAAAUAUUUUCACAGUAGUUUGAUUAUUUAGGUAAAAUUCAAGAAUUUUUAUUUUACUUAUAUCUCAUAAAUGUAACUUGUUACUUUUUAUUGUACCAGUCCUGUUGUUUCAGAUUCUCAUUAUUCAAUGUAUCUCUCUGUGUAAACCACAGUAUCUACUUCCAAAAAUAUGGGUUUUUCAGCAUUGUGGCAGAAGUUUCUAUGUUAUUUAUUUAUUAGAGCUGUGAUAAAUUCUACAGUCUUUUAAACAAAGCAGAUUGCAAGAAAAUAAAUGACUUGUACAAAGUCAUUUAUUUUGUCCUCUCUUCAUCUUUAGAUAUUCCUGUAUACCAGCCAUAGCUCUGGGGGACUAUUCUUGUUGUCUGCUGGUAGUUUGGUGUCAGGGCCAGAAUUAAACUCAAACUGGUAAAUAUGGACAUAGACAUAAUCAAAAUUACGGUUGAUUGGCAAUGCUACAAUGAUAAGCUUGGCAUCAUAAAACUAUUUGGAAUCAUUAAUGCUGCAUUCAAUGUUGCACUCAGUAUGUGGUAUUCAGAUUACCAAAAGUUGUUCUAUAAACAUGAAUACAUUUGAAAAAAUAUGUCUAAAAUUCAUGUUAAUGUACUUUUAUCUGCCUCAUUUCAAAACAGAUUUUAGAAUAAGGUCAGAGUAUAAAUUGUUUGUUUUUGCCUUUAAAGAGAAAAGAGAUGCAAAAUUGUAACAGGUAAAGCAGCAGUUGCUACAGAGAAAUAUAUGUUGUGGAGUAGAAAAACCUAAUAUCUAAACCUAGGAG